UUGGAGACUAUAAUGCCGUCGAUCGCAUCGCUGGUCGCUUGCUCACUUAGCUUAGCUUCGGACGGGUGAGUAACACGUGGGCAACCUGCCUAUAAGACUGGGAUAACUUCGGGAAACCGGAGCUAAUACCGGAUACGUUCUUUUCUCGCAUGAGAGAAGAUGGAAAGACGGUUUACGCUGUCACUUAUAGAUGGGCCCGCGGCGCAUUAGCUAGUUGGUGAGGUAAUGGCUCACCAAGGCGACGAUGCGUAGCCGACCUGAGAGGGUGAUCGGCCACACUGGGACUGAGACACGGCCCAGACUCCUACGGGAGGCAGCAGUAGGGAAUCUUCCGCAAUGGACGAAAGUCUGACGGAGCAACGCCGCGUGAACGAAGAAGGCCUUCGGGUCGUAAAGUUCUGUUGUUAGGGAAGAACAAGUACCAGAGUAACUGCUGGUACCUUGACGGUACCUAACCAGAAAGCCACGGCUAACUACGUGCCAGCAGCCGCGGUAAUACGUAGGUGGCAAGCGUUGUCCGGAAUUAUUGGGCGUAAAGCGCGCGGCAGGUGGUUCCUUAAGUCUGAUGUGAAAGCCCACGGCUCAACCGUGGAGGGUCAUUGGAAACUGGGGAACUUGAGUGCAGAAGAGGAAAGUGGAAUUCCAAGUGUAGCGGUGAAAUGCGUAGAGAUUUGGAG
rnacentral:rRNA from 1 species